GAAGCUGGAAUCGCUAGUAAUCGCGGAUCAGAAUGCCGCGGUGAAUACGUUCCCGGGUCUUGUACACACCGCCCGUCACACCAUGGGAGUCGGAAAUGCCCGAAGUCUGUGACCCAACCUCAGGGAGGGAGCAGCCGAAGGCAGGUCGGAUGACUGGGGUGAAGUCGUAACAAGGUAGC
rnacentral:rRNA from 1 species